rnacentral:rRNA from 1 species
CCUACGGGAGGCAGCAGUAGGGAAUCUUGCGCAAUGGGCGAAAGCCUGACGCAGCCACGCCACGUGUGGGACGACGGCCCUCGGGUUGUAAACCACUUUCAGCAGGGACGAAAAUGACGGUACCUGCAGAAGAAGCCCCGGCCAACUACGUGCCAGCAGCCGCGGUAACACGUAGGGGGCGAGCGUUGUCCGGAAUUACUGGGCGUAAAGGGCUCGUAGGCGGUUUGGUAAGUCAGAUGUGAAAACUCCGGGCUCAACCCGGAGACGCCAUCUGAAACUGCCAUGACUAGAGUUUGGUAGAGGAGUGCAGAAUUCUCGGUGUAGCGGUGAAAUGCGCAGAUAUCGGGAGGAAUACCAGUCAGCGAAGGCGGCACUCUGGGCCACAACUGACGCUGAGGAGCGAAAGCGUGGGGAGCGAACAGGAUUAGAUACCCUGGUAGUCCACGCCGUAAACGGUGGGCAUUAGGUGUGGGGCCCUGUCAACGGGUUCCGUACACGUAGCUAACGCGUUAAAUGCCCCGCCUGGGGAGUACGGCCGCAAGGCUAAAACUCAAAGGAAUUGACGG